AUCCCAUGAUGAGAAAACUUACGAAGUAACUCUUUGAAUCUUUCCCAUACCUCGUAAAAGAUUUUUCAUCCAAUUGUUGAAAAGUGGUGAUCUCAUUUUGUAACU
rnacentral:snoRNA from 1 species